CCCAACCCCGCCCAAGGGCGAGUGCUAGGGGCCGCGGGCUCCUAACAGCACCGACAGCCGCCCUUUUCCUCCAGGGUCUCCCCUGGGCCAAGCUGGAGAAGGUUCUGACAGCCAAGCUCAGCUCCACAUGUUCAAGCUCUGGCAUCCGCAGGAGACUACUUCCUGAGACAAAGCCUAGCAUUAGCACAGGUGAACCCUGACAUCUCCAACCCCGCUUAUGUCCCCAACAAGCUCAACUCCACCAGACUCCUUUACUUGGACUCACAGAAGAUGGUCUUGCUGAGGGAGUAUGCAAACAGAGCGCUGGAGAGUGUGGCUGUGGGGAGGGUCCCGCCCUGGCAUGAGCUUCUCUUGACUUUUCAUGACUGCUGAGUAGGGUGAGCAGUGGGAAUGGUGUGGGAAGAAAUGAUAUCCACUUGGGAACUCAGAGCACUAGAUCUCAUUUAAUGAUGACAUUGAAGUCCCUGUAUGAUCUUGGGUGAGGCAUAGACUCUCCCUAAGCCUCGGUUUAUCCAUCCUGGGAAUGGUGCUGGCUGAGGGGAGGUAUGGGGGCCAGCUUAGGGGGGACUAUUGCCUCCUGUGUUAUUCUAUUCCAUAAAACAUACAGCUGGGUUCCCCAGGGCAACACUGGCCCAGCACAGAGACAGCCGUUGGUAUUUAUUGAAUGAAUAACGAACGGAUCAGAGGCUUCUCUUGUCAUUCUUUUUCUUUUUAACUCUUUUUUUCCACUUAAAGCCCAGUGUGAUCAUAUUUAGCUAUUUCUCUCACAAGGCGAUGUCCUGUUUUUUUAAAGCAGGAGGAAGAGUUUUAUAGCUUUCUUGCCUUCCCCCACCUCCUUCCCAGCUUAGGUCCAGAAGUCCUGGUUUGCGGGCAGAACCUAAACUCUCCUGGCUGGCUGACUGGGAGAUGGUGGAAUUGGUCAGCUUUAGCAGGUGAUCAGCAGUGGAAUUUAUAAAGCUUAGGGAAGCAGGUCACUGGCAGAGCUGAGACCCUGCACAGCUGGUGGCCAGUGGCACCUGUGUUUCUGUACCACUGGGACAGAGUGGUGGAGAGAAAAACCUUUUUGAUCUUCACUCUUCUUGACCACCCUCCUGGAGCCCAAGUGAGACCAUUUGAGAUCUAAUGAAAUCAGAACAAGAGCCCUGCCGUGCCAGUAAGCUACCACUCUCAAUCAGGUAGUGGAAAGAGAACAACUUCCUCUGUUGUCCAUUGUGGAUGUGUGGUAUUGCUUAGAUUAAAGUGAAGCAAACCCAUCCAUCCAUCCUUCCAUCCAUCCAUCCAUCCUUCCAUCUAUCCAUCCAUCCAUCCAUCCGUCCAUUCAUCCAUCCAUCCAAAUUAUGGAGAAGACAUUGAAGAUGAUGUUUAUAGCAAGAUGUUCAACAACACUGUUUGAUUCAAAAAGCUGGUCACAGAAGUCUUCACAAUAUGAUCCUAUUUUUGUUUACAACUAUUUGUAUAGAAAAAACACCAGGCAGAAAUUCAUUACAGUCAACACUGGAAAGCUUUUCUCUCAUUAGUGAGAUCAUGUGUGGUUUUUAUUCUCUUCUUAUUUAGCUAUGUUUUCU
rnacentral:lncRNA from 10 species